AUUGAACGCUGGCGGCAUGCCUUACACAUGCAAGUCGAACGGCAGCAUGAUCUUGCUUGCUAGAUUGAGGGCGAGUGGCGAACGUGUUAGCAAUACAUCGGAACGUUCCCUGUAGUUGGGGUUAACUAGUCGUAACUUUAACCACUUCCGGACACGACCUGAGGGUGGAAGUGGGUGGCACCAAGCCCUCUUGGUUUAGCCGCGGUCGAUGUCUGAUUAGCGUGUUGGUGAGGUAAAGGCUCACCAAGGCGACGAUCAGUAGCUGGUCUGAGAGGACGAUCAGCCACACUGGGACUGAGACACGGCCCAGACUCCUACGGGAGGCAGCAGUGGGGAAUUUUGGACAAUGGGCGAAAGCCUGAUCCAGCAAUGCCGCGUGUGUGAAGAAGGCCUUCGGGUUGUAAAGCACUUUUGUCCGGAAGGAAAUGGCUCUGGUUAAUACCUGGGGGUGAUGACGGUACCGGAAGAAUAAGGACCGGCUAACUACGUG
rnacentral:rRNA from 1 species